AACCUGGUUGAUCUUGCCAGUAGUCAUAUGCUUGUCUCAAAGAUUAAGCCAUGCAAGUGAAAGUAUAUGCAUAUUUUAUAUGUAGAAACUGCGAACGGCUCAUUAAAACAGUUAUAAUCUACUUGACAUUUUAUUAUAAGGAUAACUACGGAAAAGCUGUAGCUAAUACUUGCUUUAAUUGCUUUUACUCCCCGAGUAUUUGCAUGUAUUUGUUAAGCCUUAUAAGAAAAUUUUUUAAUUAAAGGAAUUAUAACAAAGAAGUAACACAUAAUAUAUUUACUAUAUUUAGUGUGUAUCAAUCGAGUUUCUGACCUAUCAGCUUUUGAUGUUAGGGUAUUGGCCUAACAUGGCUAUGACGGGUAACGGGGAAUUAGAGUUCGAUUCCGGAGAGGGAGCCUGAGAAAUAGCUACCA
rnacentral:rRNA from 1 species